AUUGAACGCUGGCGGCAUGCCUUACACAUGCAAGUCGAACGGUAACGGGCCUUCGGGUGCCGACGAGUGGCGAACGGGUGAGUAAUACAUCGGAACGUGCCCGAUCGUGGGGAUAACGAGGCGAAAGCUUUGCUAAUACCGCAUACGAUCUACGGAUGAAAGCAGGGGACCGCAAGGCCUUGCGCGGACGGAGCGGCCGAUGGCAGAUUAGGUAGUUGGUGGGAUAAAAGCUUACCAAGCCGACGAUCUGUAGCUGGUCUGAGAGGAUGAUCAGCCACACUGGGACUGAGACACGGCCCAGACUCCUACGGGAGGCAGCAGUGGGGAAUUUUGGACAAUGGGCGCAAGCCUGAUCCAGCCAUGCCGCGUGCAGGAUGAAGGCCUUCGGGUUGUAAACUGCUUUUGUACGGAACGAAAAGCCUUCUUUUAAUACAGGAGGGUCAUGACGGUACCGGAAGAAUAAGCACCGGCUAACUACGUG
rnacentral:rRNA from 1 species